rnacentral:rRNA from 1 species
GACGAACGCUGGCGGCGUGCUUAACACAUGCAAGUCGAACGGAGCGAAUGAAAGCUUGCUUUUAUGAGCUUAGUGGCAAACGGGUGAGUAACACGUAGACAACCUGCCGACAGGAUGGGGACAACAUUCCGAAAGGAAUGCUAAUACCGAAUGAAGCGGAGGAGAGGCAUCUCUCUUCCGUGAAAGAUGGCCUCUAUUUAUAAGCUAUCACCUGUCGAUGGGUCUGCGUCUGAUUAGCUAGUUGGUGAGGUAACGGCUCACCAAGGCGACGAUCAGUAGCCGGUCUGAGAGGAUGAACGGCCACAUUGGGACUGAGACACGGCCCAGACUCCUACGGGAGGCAGCAGUGGGGAAUCUUCCGCAAUGGGCGCAAGCCUGACGGAGCAACGCCGCGUGAGUGAAGAAGGUCUUCGGAUCGUAAAGCUCUGUUGACGGGGACGAACGUACGGAGUGCGAAUAGUG